UACGGGGGGGGCAAGCGUUGUUCGGAAUUACUGGGCGUAAAGGGCGCGUAGGCGGCCUGCUAAGUCGGAUGUGAAAUCCCUCGGCUCAACCGAGGAACUGCAUCCGAUACUGGCGGGCUUGAAUCCGGGAGAGGGAUGUGGAAUUCCUGGUGUAGCGGUGAAAUGCGCAGAUAUCAGGAGGAACACCGGUGGCGAAGGCGGUUCUCUGGGCAUGUCCUGACGCUGAGGAGCGAAAGUGUGGGGAGCGAACAGG
rnacentral:rRNA from 1 species